GACGAACGCUGGCGGCGUGCCUAACACAUGCAAGUCGAGCGGUUCAUUGUGUGGCACUGUGAGCAUAGAGAUGUGCUUAGAGUGUCAUACAGUGGAUAGCGGCGGACGGGUGAGUAACGCGUGAGUAAUCUGCCCUUGACAGGGGGAUAACACAGGGAAACUUGUGCUAAUACCGCAUAAAGUAUUGACAUGGCAUCAUGUUAAUACCAAAGGAGAAAUCCGGUUUAGGAUGAACUCGCGUCCGAUUAGC
rnacentral:rRNA from 1 species